rnacentral:rRNA from 1 species
UACGGGGGGAGCAAGCGUUGUUCGGAUUUACUGGGCGUAAAGGGCGCGUAGGCGGCCACCGCAAGUCAAUUGUGAAAUCUCCGGGCUUAACUCGGAAAGGUCAACUGAUACUGCGGGGCUAGAGUGCGGAAGGGGCAACUGGAAUUCUCGGUGUAGCGGUGAAAUGCGUAGAUAUCGAGAGGAACACCUGCGGCGAAGGCGGCGCUCUGGGCUGGAACUGACGCUGAGGAGCGAAAGCGUGGGGAGCGAACAGG